AUGGAUGCUUACCGCUGCUGUAUUCUCGCGAGCUCUGUUCCAGAAUUAAACCAUGCUAGUGUCCAUGCCUUUGAUUCUAAGCCAGUUCUGCAAACAAAAUGUGCAACAGUAGUGUCUUGGUGGCUUACAGCUCAAGAGAUAUACUCUCUAUGUCACAUGGCAAGACUCAGUUACGAGAUGUGGCACAUACAGCUUGAUGGAAAGAUAUCUUUUGGUGGUGAAGCUAAUGUUUAUCUCUCACUGGAGUGGCUCAAGCUACCGGUGGUGGAACUUCAGUUCUCCACUCCGGGUGGCUAUCUUUUCGGUUAUAAAUAUUUUUCUAUGGAUCUGGAGUUGCCUUUUGAUCCAGGAGACCAUAAGUUACAACAGGUUCUUCUUAACAUUAGUGGUGUAUCCAUUGGAUAUAUACAUCUGCACGAGAAUAGAGGAGCUUUGACAUAUCAUUUGCCCUGGUGGUGUACAACGCUAUAUUUCACGAUGGAAGUUAUGCAAGUUGACAGUGGGUGUUUUUAUCUAGUUGUAUGGCUCCUCGGCAUCAUUGGAGAGUUUGAUCUCACCACAUUAUGGUGUUUAUUGGAUGACAAAAUGUCAAGGAGGGCGGCUACAACUGAUAAGAAAGUAAGCAAACUGGUUGGUUAUUAUAUUCUUGCUGGUUUUGAUGUUCUGAGUGAUGGAACCAUAUUCCAAUCUCGGAAAGCAUUGUACAUGUUGCCUGAACCCAGCCCUGGAUGGACGCUCACGAAGUGGCAUAUGUUUGAGAUAAAUUCCAACACGAAUAUCUUUCUAGCAGUUUUGGUUGAAAACAGUUGCACAUCAGGGAGUUUCAUAGUUGUCAAGUAUACUCUGCUCCUACCACAUUCCAUUGGUGUUCAUGGAGGAAUUAUGUUACAUACUCAGAACCUGCAUGGUCACCCAGCUUGCUCAGACUACUCGGAAUAUGUAUGCACAUCAUGUUAUCUUGACCCAAGGGACGGAGAAAACAACCCAAUUUUUCCAUCAGAUAUGGCAGUGAUCUCUGCGCAGCUGAAGUGUGACAACUUUAAUAUCUCUUGGAGUAGUUGGCAUCACAUCUUUCGGGUCGACUGGCCAAACCCAUUUCUGCAGCAACAGGUUGUUAAGCUCGUAGGAGUACCCGAGAGACAAUCUCCAUGGGACCCGGGUGGUGUCCGCUUCGUCGACAUUAUUGAACUUCUCAUUGAGCUGCUAGUGCCAUGGGAUCCGGGUGGUUCACAUCACCGACUUGAGGACAAGCCGUAUUUUAAGGGGGCGAGAAUGUCAUGCCCCAGAGGUCAUGCCCUCUUCGUGGGACUGCCCUGGAAAAUGGGCCGUGGAACUUGGGCUGGGCCUAGUGGCAAGGAUAUGGAGCAAUGCUAUAUAAAGAGGCGCGCGUCACACGAGACGGGGGGAACGAUUGAAACGUCUGAAGCCUCUCAUCCUUUUGCUCCUGUUCCUCACCUCCCUGCUAUCUGUAUCUCCCUCUUGUUGCUGAUUCUCACCUCAAAUCUCUUCUCUUGUAUCCGAGAUCGGUACUGA
rnacentral:rRNA from 1 species